rnacentral:rRNA from 1 species
CGAGCACGCGCGUGUGGCAUAUCAAUAAGCGGAGGAAAAGAAACUAACAAGGAUUCCCCUAGUAACGGCGAGUGAAGCGGGAAGAGCUCAAAUUUGAAAUCUUCAAGGUUCUACCUUGACGAAUUGUAGUUUAUAGAAGUGUUUUCUGUUAGUGGAGUGGCAAAAGUUCUUUGGAAUAGGACAUCAUAGAGGGUGAGAAUCCCGUAUUUGGUCAUUCCUCCUAGCGUUGUGAUACACUUUCAACGAGUCGGAUUGUUUGGGAAUGCAGUCCAAAAUGGGUGGUAAAUUUCAUCUAAAGCUAAAUAUUGGCGAGAGACCGAUAGCGAACAAGUACCGUGAGGGAAAGAUGAAAAGAACUUUGAAAAGAGAGUUAAACAGUACGUGAAAUUGUCAAAAGGGAAGCGUUUGACACCAGUGUUGUUUUUCCGAAAAUCAAUUACGAAUGUUUUGUUUUUGAGGAGUUAUGACUUCAUCGGCUUGCUCCUUUCUUUAUGAAACUUUCUUAAUGCACUUUUCGGUUAACAAGUCAACAUCAAUUUCUUCUGUUGUAAAAGGGUAUGAGGAAGGUGGCUUUCUUUUCGGAGAAAGUGUUUAUAGCCUUGUGCCUCUGCAAUCGGAGAGAUUGAGGUCUGCAGCGUAGAUCCUUCGGGGUUAGAUACGUUUGUGCUAAGUUAUAGCUUUUCAUAGACAACUCGUUGACUAUGUUGAGUCUUGUAAUUUACUCGCAGAUGCUAUUUUACCUACGCUUAGGAUGUUGAACUCUAUCACACACAG